rnacentral:rRNA from 1 species
GGGUGAGUAACGCGUAAGUAAUCUGCCCUGGUAUCUGGGAUAACCCACCGAAAGGUGUGCUAAUACGGGAUACGCUGAUUUAUCAGGAAAGGUGGCCUCUUCAUGAAAGCUACUGUACCAGGAGGAGCUUGCGUACCAUUAGCUAGUUGGUAGGGUAAUGGCCUACCAAGGCGACGAUGGUUAGCGGGUCUGAGAGGAUGAUCCGCCACACUGGAACUGAAACACGGACCAGACUCCUACGGGAGGCAGCAGUGAGGAAUAUUGCGCAAUGGGGGAAACCCUGACGCAGCGACGCCGCGUGGAUGAUGAAGGCCUUCGGGUCGUAAAAUCCUGUCAGAUGGAAAGAAAUGUAGUAUGCCUAAUACGUGUACUAUUUGACGGUACCAUCAAAGGAAGCACCGGCUAACUCCGUGCCAGCAGCCGCGGUAAUACGGAGGGUGCAAGCGUUGUUCGGAAUUACUGGGCGUAAAGCGCGCGUAGGCGGUUUGCUAAGUCAGAUGUGAAAGUCCACGGCUCAACCGUGGAAGUGCAUUUGAAACUGGCAGACUUGAGUACUGGAGGGGGUGGUGGAAUUCCCGGUGUAGAGGUGAAAUUCGUAGAUAUCGGGAGGAAUACCGGUGGCGAAGGCGACCACCUGGCCAG